rnacentral:rRNA from 1 species
UACGUAGGGCGCAAGCGUUGUCCGGAAUUAUUGGGCGUAAAGAGCUCGUAGGCGGCCUGGUUAGUCGGGUGUGAAAGCCCGAGGCUCAACCUCGGAAUUGCAUUCGAUACUGCUGGGCUUGGGGCAGGUAGGGGAGAUCGGAAUUCCCGGUGUAGCGGUGAAAUGCGCAGAUAUCGGGAGGAACACCGGUGGCGAAGGCGGAUCUCUGGGCCUGUCCUGACGCUCAGGCGCGAAAGCUAGGGGAGCGAACAGGAUUAGAUACCCCGUGUAGU